rnacentral:lncRNA from 1 species
GACGGACGGACGGACCCACAGACAAGAAAACAUAAUGUCCAUAAAUGGGGCAUAAAAAACAUUUUGGGUGAAAAUCGUGGCUACUACGCGAUUUAAAAGGCUUAAAGAUUGUUAUUUAAAUGAUUUCUAUAAUUAGUGUCAAGAACAUUUCAUUUCUUCAAUCAUAACAUUAGAAAAGUAAAAUAUUCCAUCGUGACAGUUUUAUCAAAUCCUCUACUGUACGAUAAAAUAAAUGAAUGGUGUCUGCUCUAUUGGUCGGCCGGUUGUUGUCCCUUUGACCUUCUCCCCGUUUCCAUUCUAUUGUUGACCAAAUCCACUACCGUAUUACAAUGCUAUCAUACUACUCAGAUAUAAAUAUAGAUAUACCAAAAUGUAUUUUAUAUUUAAUAAUGUAACACAGUACAAGUACAAGAAAUUCACAUGAAUCUCAUACAUUUAAGAGUAAUAAGAAAGAUAUCGGAACUUUCAAUGUCGGAUGUCAAAGGAUUACCAUGCAGAAAUUUAUGAAUAUUAGGCAGAGUGAGACAUGGUGAGUUACUCAACGCGGACUACAGAAUAAAAAUUGUCCAGUUGAUUCAAUAUUCAAUCUCACUACUUUUACAGAAUGGAACAAGUUUUUUUUUCUAUUAAAAUGUUCCUUCAGACCACUGCUCUCAGUUCUUAUUCUUGUGUGCAAAGUCACGGUGUCCUAUUCUACUACAUCAGUAAAACAUAUUAAGG